GACGAACGCUGGCGGCGUGCUUAACACAUGCAAGUCGAACGGAAAGGCCCUGCUUUUGUGGGGUGCUCGAGUGGCGAACGGGUGAGUAACACGUGAGUAACCUGCCCUUGACUUUGGGAUAACUUCAGGAAACUGGGGCUAAUACCGGAUAGGAGCUCCUGCUGCAUGGUGGGGGUUGGAAAGUUUCGGCGGUUGGGGAUGGACUCGCGGCUUAUCAGCUUGUUGGUGGGGUAGUGGCUUACCAAGGCUUUGACGGGUAGCCGGCCUGAGAGGGUGACCGGCCACAUUGGGACUGAGGUACGGCCCAGACUCCUACGGGAGGCAGCAGUGGGGGAUAUUGCGCAAUGGGCGGAAGCCUGAUGCAGCAACGCCGCGUGCGGGAUGACGGCCUUCGGGUUGUAAACCGCUUUCGCCUGUGACGAAGCAUGAGUGACGGUAAUGGGUAAAGAAGCACCGGCUAACUACGUG
rnacentral:rRNA from 1 species